AAGCUGCUGACAUCCCCUGUUUGAAGGUUAUAAUAGACACAGGUUUGUGUGUCACAUAGCUAGCUAGAGGCGAUGGCCUCUUGGAGCUAAUCAACGGCAGCAUUCGUCUUAUUUUUCUGGACUGUCAUGUUAGCUUGGCGAUAACUAUUA